GACGAACGCUGGCGGCGUGCUUAACACAUGCAAGUCGAACGGAAAGGCCCUGCUUGCAGGGUGCUCGAGUGGCGAACGGGUGAGUAACACGUGGGUGAUUUGCCCCUUCCUUUGGGAUAAGCCUGGUAAACGGGGUCUAAUGCUGGAAAGGGCCGCGCUUUAGGCGUAGUGGUGGAAAGUUUCGUGUAGGUGAGGGAUGAACUCGCGGCCUAUCAGAUUGUUGGUGGGGUAAUGGCCUACCAAGGCGUCGACGGGUAGCCGGCCUGAGAGGGUGGUCGGCCACAUUGGGACUGAGAUACGGCGCAGACUCCUACGGGAGGCAGCAGUGGGGAAGAGUGCACAAUGGGCGCAAGCCUGAUGCAGCGACGCCGCGUGGGGGAUGACGGCCUGCGGGUUGUAAACUCCUUUCAGCCAUGACGAAGCCCUUGUGGUGACGGUAGUGGUAGAAGAAGCACCGGCUAACUACGUG
rnacentral:rRNA from 1 species